AAGGAAAGUGUAAAGCAGACAGAGCAGUAAACUUCAAUGUUUCAAGGGAAAUAUUUAUUCUCGUUGGAAGUGAUUUGGAAAAUAAUUAUAGUCAAAUCACCCCUACUGCAAGCCAAUUAUCAGACUGUAUCAAUCUCAGCUGAGUCCAAGAUAGGAAGAGGCUUUGGAGAGAACACAGAAUUACUACAGACAAAAGACUUGUGAAGUUAUAAGGGGAAUUGCAGAACUCAUAGCUCCACUUCAAUCUAGAUAUGUUGACAGUUAUUUCACUGAAACACUUUGCAGCUGACAAAGAUAAUCAAAUGAUGACCACUACUUUAACUCUAUGGUUGCAGCAUAUUUCAAUUUUUGAAGUGACAAAUUUUAUUCCUGUUUGUGAACCAAUAUUCAAAAGAAACACUGCUAUGGCAUUAGACAUAACUUAGAAGAGAGUGGUGGGGUGGCAAAAUAAGAUUCCAUACUGUGAAAUGUAUCAAUUGUUAAUAUACAUAUAUCAAUAUAAAUUCAGUGCCAAUUUUCAUAAUUUCUAGGGGAAAAGUUUGUUUGUAACAAAUGUCAGAAAUAUGCACUAGCUCUUUCUUUGCAAACCAUGCUACUAAGUACCAGGCAUUAAGACAUGAUUUCUUUAUUGUCAUUUGUUAAACAUAGACAGAUCCAGUGAUUUGAA